CCUACGGGGGGCAGCAGUGAGGAAUAUUGGUCAAUGGACGAGAGUCUGAACCAGCCAAGUAGCGUGAAGGAUGACUGCCCUAUGGGUUGUAAACUUCUUUUAUAUGGGAAUAAAAUGUGCCACGUGUGGGAUUUUGUAUGUACCAUAUGAAUAAGGAUCGGCUAACUCCGUGCCAGCAGCCGCGGUAAUACGGAGGAUCCGAGCGUUAUCCGGAUUUAUUGGGUUUAAAGGGAGCGUAGGUGGAUUGUUAAGUCAGUUGUGAAAGUUUGCGGCUCAACCGUAAAAUUGCAGUUGAAACUGGCAGGCUUGAGUACAGUAGAGGUGGGCGGAAUUCGUGGUGUAGCGGUGAAAUGCUUAGAUAUCACGAAGAACUCCGAUUGCGAAGGCAGCUCACUGGACUGCAACUGACACUGAGGCUCGAAAGUGUGGGUAUCAAACAGGAUUAGAUACCCCGGUAGUC
rnacentral:rRNA from 1 species